GGCCGGGUGGCGCAAUGGUAGCGCGUUGGUUUUCGGUUCCUUUCGACAGGUAAAGCCUACCAAAGGUUUGCGGGUUCGAGUCCCGUCUCGGUCG